AGGAGGAAUAGAAAAACCAUGAUAAAAAUAUAGAAGGUAGUUUCAAUCAAAAUUUUUUUUUUCAAAUAAGGUUUUUUGAAGUUUCCUUAUUUUGUGAGCAUUAUAAAAAGCGUUGCCACAUUCCUAAAAAUGAUUUUUAUUUUAGAGACAUUUUUUACAAAAAAUGUGUAAUUUAUAAUUUAGUAUUUAAAUAAAAAUGUAUUAAGUAUGUUGUGUUGGAAGUUAAUGAUUCAAUUCCUAACAUUCGCUAUAUAAUUUGGGCUACCUGACAAAGAAUUUUCAUUAAAUUUUAAAAAAAAUUAAUUUAAACGUUCCAAAAGGCUUAAAAAACUGGUGUUUGGUUUGUAUAAUCCACCCUCUGACAAGUUUUACAUACAUCCAGCCACUGUUGUCGUUUGUUUGUUAGGUAUUUGGUAUUUUCGCAGUUGGGGAAAAUGCAACUCAUGUUUGUUAAAUCUUAAAAUAAUGUUCACAAAUUAGCUUUGAAAUAUUUGAAAAUGAAAAUCUUACCUUUGAUCCCAAUUUGAUAGUAAAUAUUUUUCAUAUUUUUUUUAAUAUUCUUCAAAUUAAUGAAAAUUAUGUAUUAAUUUUUUCACAAACUUCAAAGAAUAUAUGGGAAAAUUUUUAAUUAAUAUGGUAUUACUAUUUUAACGAAAACGUCAAAAUCCUUAAGCAUGUCAGACGUAGAAUUUUAAAAAAUAAAGAGAGAAUGAAACUACCUUCUAUUUUUCUACUAUGAGAAAAACUACGCAUGUGUAAAUGCGUAAUUAAUUUUUCAAUGGCGGUGAUCAAAGAUGAUUCUUAUCCUUAUAUUCAAGGGGAAAAGAAAAAUUGCUGAAAUUACCGGAUUCCAGGAAAUAUCAAAGAAAAUGCUUUGAAUAUUUCAUUUGAAGUGCCAAAGGAAAAAGGAGUUUGUUGUACUAAAGGUCAUACCAAUUCAUGGAUCUCAUACAACUUCAUUUUGAGAAGAGGGAAAUAAAUAAAAGUUAUGGGAAUUAGAAUAGCUAGAACCAAAAAAUUUUGGCACCAACCAAAGUGAAAGUCUUGACGACUGGC